rnacentral:lncRNA from 1 species
UGCCUGAACUUAUCCCUGUGCGAAGAUCAAAAAACCACCACCUCUCUGCAUGCCAUAUACUAUCUAAGACACCGAUCCGGAGUAACAUUUAAAGGUGCUUUAAUUCUAGAUUCACAAAGUUCUACCAUGGAUUGGGAUCGCAACCGCCUGCAGCAACUUAACUUCUCUAAGGUCAAAUCGAGCGAUCAUCUGAGCUAAAUCUUUAUAG